rnacentral:rRNA from 1 species
AUGUAUCAGGGGUAGGGGAGCGUUGUAUGCAGCAGUGAAGGUGGACCGGAAGGACUGCUGGAGCGCAUACAAGUGAGAAUGCCGGUAUGAGUAACGAAAAGAUCAGUGAGAAUCUGAUCCGCCGAAAACCUAAGGGUUCCUGAGGAAGGCUCGUCCGCUCAGGGUAAGUCGGGACCUAAGGCGAGGCCGAUAGGCGUAGUCGAAGGACAACAGGUCGAAAUUCCUGUACCACCGUAAAUCGUUACGAGCGAUGGGGUGACGCAGUAGGGUAGUGACGCAGACUGAUGGAUGUCUGUCCAAGCAGUGAGGCUGGUAUGUAGGCAAAUCCGCAUACUAUUAAGGCUGGGCUGUGAUGGGGAGUGAAAAUUACAGUAGCGAAGGUCAUGAUCUCACACUGCCAAGAAAAGCCUCUAGCCAGAUGAAGGUGCCCGUACCGUAAACCGACACAGGUAGGUGAGAAGAGAAUUCUAAGGCGCGCGGAAGAACUCUCGUUAAGGAACUCGGCAAAAUGACCCCGUAACUUCGGGAGAAGGGGUGCCCCGGUAGUGUGAAUAGCACGAGGGGGCCGCAGUGAAAAGGCCCAAGCGACUGUUUAGCAAAAACACAGGUCUGUGCGAAGCCGCAAGGCGAAGUAUACGGGCUGACGCCUGCCCGGUGCUGGAAGGUUAAGGGGAGCGGUUAGGGGUUAAACCCGAAGCUGUGAACCGAAGCCCCAGUAAACGGCGGCCGUAACUAUAACGGUCCUAAGGUAGCGAAAUUCCUUGUCAGGUAAAUUCUGACCCGCACGAAUGGCGUAACGACUUGGGCGCUGUCUCAACGAGAGAUCCGGUGAAAUUUUAAUACCUGUGAAGAUGCAGGUUACCCGCGACAAGACGGAAAGACCCCAUGGAGCUUUACUGCAGCUUGAUAUUGGAUUUGGGUACGAUCUGUACAGGAUAGGUGGGAGCCUAGGAAACAGGAGCGCCAGCUUCUGUGGAGGCAACGUUGGGAUACCACCCUGAUCGUAUCUAGGUUCUAACUUGGUACCGUAAUCCGGUGCGAGGACAGUGUCAGGUGGGCAGUUUGACUGGGGCGGUCGCCUCCUAAAGAGUAACGGAGGCGCCCAAAGGUUCCCUCAGAAUGGUUGGAAAUCAUUCGAAGAGUGUAAAGGCACAAGGGAGCUUGACUGCGAGACCUACAAGUCGAGCAGGGACGAAAGUCGGGCUUAGUGAUCCGGUGGUACCGCAUGGAAGGGCCAUCGCUCAACGGAUAAAAGCUACCCUGGGGAUAACAGGCUUAUCUCCCCCAAGAGUCCACAUCGACGGGGAGGUUUGGCACCUCGAUGUCGGCUCAUCGCAUCCUGGGGCUGAAGUAGGUCCCAAGGGUUGGGCUGUUCGCCCAUUAAAGCGGUACGCGAGCUGGGUUCAGAACGUCGUGAGACAGUUCGGUCCCUAUCUGUCGUGGGCGUAGGAAAUUUGAGAGGAGCUGUCCUUAGUACGAGAGGACCGGGAUGGACGUACCGCUGGUGUACCAGUUGUUCCGCCAGGAGCACCGCUGGGUAGCUAUGUACGGACGGGAUAAGCGCUGAAAGCAUCUAAGCGUGAAGCCCCCCUCAAGAUGAGAUUUCCCAACUAGUAAGACCCCUUGAAGACGACGAGGUAGAUAGGCUGGGGGUGGAAGUGCAGCAAUGCAUGGAGCUGACCAGUACUAAUCGGUCGAGGGCUUAUC